rnacentral:lncRNA from 1 species
AACGAAGCAACGUCAGCAGUAGCUGGAACAGUAUUAAUCCAGACACCACGCCACCACCGACCCCUCGAGUGUACGCAGCCCAGUGUCCGUCUGUGUCUUGUCGUGGGCGUGACGUUCAGCAGCGGCAGGAACAGCAACGGGAAGCUUGAUCUACGCGUUGACGAUCCAAAGGCCUGACUCCACAGCGGUAAUGAGCCUCGUCUACCUUGCACUUUGACGGACAACGCUCACUACCAACACUUCUAGAAGCCUCCGCCACCGCCGUAAGAUUGCAUCGCGCACACGGUCUACUCUUAACGACCGCCACCGCCGCUGCCGCCGUUGAGGGAGAUGGCUGGAUGAGUGGGUGAUAGAGGCGAGGCAGGUGUGGUGAGGCGGAGGAUUGGAGACGAGAACCUACAGAUGACGGCAGACACGGAAGAUUCCACUAACCAGGAGUUGGUGAUCCGAAGCCGUGACUGCAGCGAUCCCGUGCGUCCUGCACCAUCAAGGGAAGGACUCUGGCUUCGCACUGCGCCUACAUUGACCGUUGCCGCCGCCGCUGCUACCGCUACUCGGAGGGGCACUGCCUCGCAUUGGGCCUUCACUGCCGUCCCGCUAAUACACGUGUCGCCGUCGCAGCUACUGGCACUGAGGGACUUCGCCUCUCAGCGGCCUGGCAAACACCUGCUACACCACCACCACUAACUCCACCACCGCAGUCCAGAGAUUCAGCUUCGCAUAGCAGACAUCCUCCUAUUCAACGCUUGCUGCCACUACCACCUCAUUAUGGUGGUGUCACUGUACUUGGAUCUGUUGUCACUACUGAAUAAUAAUGUGUAAAGAAA